AAUCAACGCUGGCGGCGUGCCUAACACAUGCAAGUCGCACGAGAAAGUGGGGGCAACCCCAUGAGUAAAGUGGCGUACGGGUGAGUAACACGUGACUAACCUACCUCCGAAUGGGGAAUAACUCCGGGAAACCGGGGCUAAUACCGCAUAACAUCUACGGAUCAAAGCAGCAAUGCGUUUGGAGAGGGGGUCGCGGCUGAUAGCUAGUUGGUAAGGUAAUGGCUUACCAAGGCGACGANCAGUAUCCGGCCUGAGAGGGCGCACGGACACACUGGAACUGAAACACGGUCCAGACUCCUACGGGAGGCAGCAGUGGGGAAUUUUGCGCAAUGGGGGAAACCCUGACGCAGCAACGCCGCGUGGAGGAUGAAGGUCUUUGGAUUGUAAACUCCUUUCGAUCGGGACGAUUAUGACGGUACCGGAAGAAGAAGCACCGGCU
rnacentral:rRNA from 1 species